UCUGAAAAUUGGGAAAGCAAGGUAGCAAAUAUAAACGCCAUGCUUCUGCUUCUGCCCACAUCUCGCAGAGAAGCAUCAACUGAAGUAAUGGCGUCUACGAUUGUGCUUGCCAACGUGUUGCUGCCGCUUAUAUUGCUUUUUCUCCAAGGAAGCAAUGCGGCUCAUGAUGUGGAGGCUAGAAUCGAUACAUUGGCAUGCAACCGGCUGACCGAAAGAUGUAGUUAUCCAGCAAGUUGCGCCUGCGACUGGCAAUCGGGUCCCGGUCAGGUGGUUCUCGACGUUGUUCACUAUGAUCCAUUAACCAACCAGUGUGUACAAAGAGGAAAGGAAGCCAACUGCAACGCAUUUCGCAGUAUUAGCGACUGCGAGGCUUCCUGCAGAAACAACGGCAGGGGGCGUUAGCCGCAUACGUUAUUACCAUCCUUUGGUGCGUACGACGUAAUAAAGUAGCUCAUA